CGCGUAGGUGGCUCUAUAAGUCCGUUGUGAAAGUCAAAGGCUCAACCUUUGAAAGCCGAUGGAUACUGUAGAGCUAGAGUCCGGAAGAGGCGAGUGGAAUUCCUGGUGUAGCGGUGGAAUGCGCAGAUAUCAGGAGGAACACCAAUAGCGAAGGCAGCUCGCUGGGACGUGACUGACACUAAGGCGCGAAAGCGUGGGGAGCGAACAGGAUUAGAUACCCUGGUAGUCCACGCCGUAAACGAUGGGCACUAGGUGUGGGAGGUGUCGACUCCUCCCGUGCCGUCGCUAACGCACUAAGUGCCCCGCCUGGGGAGUACGGCCGCAAGGCUAAA
rnacentral:rRNA from 1 species